UACCAGCACCCCGAGUGGUCGGGACGAUUAUUGGGCCUAAAGCAUCCGUAGCCGGUCAUGCAAGUCUUCCGUUAAAUCCAGCCGCUCAACGGUUGGGCUGCGGAGGAUACUACGUGGCUAGGAGGCGGGAGAGGCAAGCGGUACUCAGUGGGUAGGGGUAAAAAUCCUUUUGAUCCAUUGAAGACCACCAGUGGCGAAGGCGGCUUGCCAGAACGCGCUCGACGGUGAGGGGAUGAAAAGCUGGGGGGGAGCAAAACCGGG
rnacentral:rRNA from 1 species